rfam:Erysipelotrichaceae bacterium 3_1_53 genomic scaffold supercont1.5, whole genome shotgun sequence.
AGGUCUCGUGAGCAGAUAGAAUUGUAGUAACAACGAAUCACGAGAAGUACCCAAAGGGCAGACUCUCAGCAGAGGCCGUAGUAGGUUUUUAAUAAAAAAAACUGAAGGGC